rnacentral:lncRNA from 1 species
AGCCGUGGAGGAUCGGGACUCCAGCCGGAUGGCAACUGCUACUAAGUUGUCGGACGUGGUGCUGGACUGUGUGAUGCCGUACAUCCACGACCCCAAGGACCGGGACGCGGUGUCGCAGGUGUGUCACCGGUGGUACGAGCUCGACUCGCUCACGCGGAAGCACGUUACGAUUGCGCUCUGCUACACCACCACACCGGACCGCCUCCGGAGGCGGUUCCCGCACCUAGAGUCCCUGAACCUGAAGGGGAAGCCCCGGGCAGCAAUGUUCAACCUCAUACCAGAGGAUUGGGGAGGUUUCGUUACACCGUGGGUUAA